rnacentral:sRNA from 1 species
AUUCUCAGUUGUUUUCUCAUUGGACAUUGUUAACAAAUUUUAUGAUGGCUGUACUCAAAAUUUCAAUUUUAAUUUUCAUAUAUUCGAGCUUGACGUUUCUUUAUUUAAUUCCCAAUGUAAACAGUGAAGCAAACUGUUUAAAUUGCAAACAUUUGAAAAAAUGCAAGACUCCUGCAAAUUCUUUAAUAAUCUCUGAGUACGAAGAUAAGCCAACUAUAAUUGCCAAAACAGCAAGUGAUCCUGCUAACCCAGAAUUGGAUGUAUGUCUUGGCCCAAACAAAAAAGUAAACGGUACUUUACAUGGUGUUGUAUGCAGUGGUGGGUCAGACGGCAUCUGUCACACGAUUGCAUCGAAAUCAGUUUUAAUGUAUGACGAAGCUACAUAUUGCUUAAUGUGCCAGAUAAUGUGCCGUUGCAAGGGAACUGUUCUAAGAGAAACCGCUAUACUUGUAGCCAUAUGUCUAGCAGCAUUUUACAUUCUGGUAUAACAGUUUCUUAACAGCAAUUUGUGGACUAUACUCAUCUGCUACUCAGUAAGUGGGGGUGCAUAGCUGAAAGCUAGAAAUGAAAAGAAAAGUAGCUCAAGUGGUGCUUAAUAAAUUUCAAAUAUGUUAAUAUGUUUCUUUUAAAUCAACAGUGAAUUUCUAAUAAAUAAUCGAAUAGAAUGUUUGUCAAACAACCCUGAU